UACGUAGGGAGCAAGCGUUGUCCGGAAUCAUUGGGCGUAAAGCGCGCGUAGGUGGCUUCAUAAGUCCGUUGUGAAAGUCAAAGGCUCAACCUUUGAAAGCCGAUGGAUACUGUGAAGCUAGAGUACGGAAGAGGCGAGUGGAAUUCCUGGUGUAGCGGUGGAAUGCGCAGAUAUCAGGAGGAACACCAAUAGCGAAGGCAGCUCGCUGGGACGUUACUGACACUAAGGCGCGAAAGCGUGGGGAGCGAACAGG
rnacentral:rRNA from 2 species